UUACGGUCAUGUCACAUUGAAACACCGGUUCUCAUAUGAUCACCAAAGUUAAGCAACAUUGAUCUUCGUUGGUACCUAGAUGGGUGACCAUUUGGGGAAUACCAGGUGCUGUAAG